rnacentral:rRNA from 1 species
AUUGAACGCUAGCGGGAUGCUUUACACAUGCAAGUCGAACGGCAGCGCGGACUUCGGUCUGGCGGCGAGUGGCGAACGGGUGAGUAAUGUAUCGGAACGUGCCCAGUAGCGGGGGAUAACUACGCGAAAGCGUAGCUAAUACCGCAUACGCCCUACGGGGGAAAGCAGGGGAUCGUAAGACCUUGCACUAUUGGAGCGGCCGAUAUCGGAUUAGCUAGUUGGUGAGGUAACGGCUCACCAAGGCGACGAUCCGUAGCUGGUUUGAGAGGACGACCAGCCACACUGGGACUGAGACACGGCCCAGACUCCUACGGGAGGCAGCAGUGGGGAAUUUUGGACAAUGGGGGCAACCCUGAUCCAGCCAUCCCGCGUGUGCGAUGAAGGCCUUCGGGUUGUAAAGCACUUUUGGCAGGAAAGAAACGUCGAGGGCUAAUACCCCGUGGAACUGACGGUACCUGCAGAAUAAGCACCGGCUAACUACGUG